UACGAAGGGUGCAAGCGUUACUCGGAAUUACUGGGCGUAAAGCGUGCGUAGGCGGUUUGUUAAGUCUGUCGUGAAAGCCCUGGGCUCAACCUGGGAAUUGCGAUGGAUACUGGCAAGCUAGAGUACGGUAGAGGAUGGUGGAAUUCCCGGUGUAGCGGUGAAAUGCGUAGAGAUCGGGAGGAACACCCGUGGCGAAGGCGGCGAUCUGGGAAGAUACUGACGCUGAGGUGCGAAAGCGUGGGGAGCAAACAGG
rnacentral:rRNA from 1 species